AACGAACGCUGGCGGCAUGCCUAACACAUGCAAGUCGAACGAUGCCUUCGGGCAUAGUGGCGCACGGGUGCGUAACGCGUGGGAAUCUGCCUUUCGGUUCGGAAUAACUCAGGGAAACUUGAGCUAAUACCGGAUAACGUCGCAAGACCAAAGAUUUAUCACCGAAAGAUGAGCCCGCGUAGGAUUAGCUAGUUGGUGAGGUAAAGGCUCACCAAGGCGACGAUCCUUAGCUGGUCUGAGAGGAUGAUCAGCCACACUGGGACUGAGACACGGCCCAGACUCCUACGAGAAGCAGCAGUGGGGAAUAUUGGACAAUGGGCGAAAGGCUGAUCCAGCAAUGCCGCGUGAGUGAUGAAGGCCUUAGGGUUGUAAAGCUCUUUUACCCGGGAAGAUAAUGACGGUACCGGGAGAAUAAGCCCCGGCUAACUCCGUG
rnacentral:rRNA from 1 species